UUUUGUCAUUUUACAAAGUUUAGCUGUAUAUUGCAAUGCAUUAUGGGUGAAAACACUAUUACAGUAGUUGACAGCUUUUUUCCAUAAUAAAUUACAGGCAUACUUGCCCUUGACUGUAAAUGAUGCAGUACAGGUACAGUUAUUUACUGUUGAAUGCGUUGCACGAGGCAGUUGCUUUACACAAGACCAUUUGAUGGCGGAUUGCAGAGGAGCAGCCACAUUGCCACUCCACUCAGCCACAAUACGCAUGCAGCAGAAGUAGCUAACGCUACCGGACGGUUAGGCGCCACGGAGUCGGGUCGUUGCCUAGCUACGGGGAGGAAACCUCCUAAAGUGAGAACCAUCGCUGCACAGUGAUCAACAACAUACAUGGCUGAAGAAGCUUUUCAGGUGAAUUUCUCACAGAAACCGUUUGGAUGCUGAGCAUCGGGGGUCAGGUGGUUGAGCCUCCACAUCCUAACUUCGUGGCUGGAUUGGCAGCUUUGUUUUCGAGCUACUACAUCUUUAAUCUGGUGUAC